AAAAUCACUUAAUGUAAAAAGAAAAUAAAAUUGAGAAGGUGUAAAUAAAAAAAUAUAUUAAAAUUAAAGGGAUUUUUUUUUUAAUUGUAGAAGAUGGAUUUUAUAUGAAUGUUACGUGAAAUAUACUUUACUAUCAAGAAUUUUGUCUAUAUAAUUUUUUUUUUGUGUAAUAUAUGUAAAUUAUUAUAUUUCAACAUAAUUAAAAAAUAAUUAACUCUUGGGGUGCGUUUGGUUCGUGCUAUUUUUUAAAGAUUCCUAGUAAUCCAAUGGAAAUAAAAAAAUAUGACGGUGUUUGGCUAACGCACUAAGUAAUCUAGUUGGUAAUAUUGGAUUCACUUGGGAAUAUGAUUCACCCCAAAGUAUUAAUCUCAUUCCCUUGAGGGAGGGUGGGUAUCCUCAUAUUAAUGGAUUGGGGUAAUCAUAAUAUGUCUAAUCUCUUUCUUUCUUCCUACCCGCCGGCUAAUUGAUAUUAUUUUUCUUUACAUUCUAACCUUAUAUCUCUCUCUAAACUUAUUUUUCUCUCUAAAAUUCAACUUUUUUUUCUCUCUCUAAACUAAGCUUUCUCUUUCUCUCUUUCUAAAAUUUCAACUCUCUCACUCUCUCUAAUUUCGACUAUAUUUUUCUUUCUAUUUUUUUAAUUAUGCUCUCUCUCUCUAACUUAUACUCUCUCUCCCUUUUUUCUAAAAAGAUGUUGAAAUUUUUGGUAACAUUAUCUAAAAUUAAUUAAAUAAAUUAAUUAAUUAACUGUAUAUUUUUUGCAAUAUUAAAUAAUAUGGCUAAUUAAUAUUACCAUGAGAACCAAACACAGGAAUUCUAUAUUCUUAGUAAUAGGAUGAAUAGGAAUAAGAUUCUCGGAUAUUUUUUAUUCCUAGUAAUCUUUCAUAAUGCGAACCAAACGCACCCUUGAGGUAAUAUUGAAAGUUGUAUAUCAUGAUAAACUGUGUAAUUUCAUAGCGAAAAAUAAAAAAGAAGCAUGAUUAUUAUAUUAGUAAACUAUAAGUAUUUUAUUAAAAAUUUUAAAAAGUAAAGUUGUCACGCCUCGGAUUACUCGUUUUUCCGGGCACGAUAACAGACCCGCCGUAUGCAUAGAAAUUUUUCCUGCAUACGAAGGAAAGCUGUACCUGUACUUGUAAUCAUAAAACACUACAACCAGUAGUGUAGAGCUACUGAAAUAGAGGUUCACUAUACAUACAUAGCAUCCUGGUAUACAAAAAUCACUCGCUCCAACGAGAUACAAACAUUAGUAUGUAUAAAAACCCAAAAACUACAACUAUCUGUAGCUGGUACUGUUAGGGAUUUUAUAAGUUGGCGAAUUUCGUGAAGGGUUUGGACGGAGUCUCGAAGAAUUAGAAGAUGAAGAUUGACGAAAAGAAUUGAAGUUUUGUGAUCAAAGACCCUUGAGAACUCAGGUAUGAUUAGAACCAAUUUAUGGUGAAAUUUUCAUUAUUAAAAGAUGUUUAGAAGACUUGUUUUUCUUUUCACUUAUUCAAAAGUUUUCUGAAAAAAUCAGGGGU
rnacentral:lncRNA from 1 species